AACAAAUGUACUCUUCCUCUACUUAGUGGUUGUAGAGAUUUCUUUCAAAAAAUAAUGAGAAAGUAAUAUUAAUUUGAACUCUUUUAUGAAUUUACAGAUGUGAUCUUGGAUGUUGUUUUAUCCCAUUCUGUGUGGAUGGUUGUAAAGAUGUCAUCCAUACUUGUCCAAGUUGUCGCCAGGUGAUUUCAAGAUGGAACAGAAUGUAAACAUUAACUGGUUGAUUGGUGAUGAUUUGACUUGGGACCAAAAUGAAGAAGGGGAUGCAAAUUAACAUUAUUUAGACUUUAUGCUUUUAAUCAUUUUAUUAAUCUAAUUUUGUUGUGAAAAGAAACAUUCCAUUUUUUGUUGAUAUGAGACAGUUUGAUUGAGAUUUAAUUUUACAUUUACAUUUGUAUUCUUUUUAAUAUUAUCAUGAUAGGUAAUUUUAUAACUGUAUGGCUUAAUUUUUUAUUUUUACACAUUAUGUUUGUUUAUACUGUUUGAAGAUCUGAUGAUUUUAGAAAGUGUGAUGCAAUAUUUUUUUGUUUAAUAAUCACAUAUAAAUAACCAGAUUUUAUUCCUUAACUCUGCAAAGAGUUUUUUCAAGUUCAAAUAAAAUGACUUUAAUUCCCUCAGCCAAAAAUCAAAACCACAGUGGAAAUAAUGGCAGAAUUAGGUAUGCAGGGACUUUUUUUUUAUGAUGGACGUCAGGUUUGCAGAUUUAAUUGUUAGAAAUCUUCUAGUUGUUUAUGGAAAUAGCUUUCAAUGUUAUUUUUGACAAGUUUGGUCUUAACACUAAUCUUGUCUGCAAAAGAAAAUCAAAAUUGUUGUUUUUAAUCAUUCAAUCAAAUUGUUAGAACUAUUCAUAUUACUCAUUAAAUGCACUGUAAAUAAUGCAAUUAUUAAUUUUGUUGUUGUUGAAAAAUGUAUAUUAUUAUAUUAUAACUUCACUUUGAUAUGAUAUGAAUGUGGGGUACAUGUCAGGGAGACAGCAACCCAAUGACACAAAAAAAACAAAACACAACUUUGAGGGGGAAAAGGGGGGGGGUUCAUGAUCCAGAAAUCCUGAGGUCCUGAAUUUAAAGAAAUUUAAAUCCUGACAACCCGAAAUUUGAAAAAAAAGAUUUCCCGGAUCCCGAAAUACAGGUCCAUCCCCUCCUCAACUUUUCAUAUAUAUAUAUAUUUGCCACCUACAAAAAAAAUGUUUAUAAAUUCAGCUUGGCAAUGGACAAUUUACAAUUAUCAGUAUAAGUACAAGGCCAAGUAAAACUUCUUCAGUUUGAAUUCACAGACAUUCUUCAGAGGCAAAAAAGACAAUAUUUAUAUUGUGUUAUACAGUUAUCCUUAUUUUGGUUAAUUAUUCAUUCUCUAUUGAGGGGGGAGGGUCGGAGGGGUCCUGAUCCUGAAAUCCCAGGCUUAAAGACAUGAAAUCCUGAGGUCCAGAAUUAAAAAAAAAAUUAAUCCUGACAUCCCGAAAUUCGAAAAAUUAAAUCCCAGAUCCCGAAAGGGUAAAUCUUGAAAUCCUGAGCUUAAAAACAACCGAUCCCGACGUCCCAAAAAAGGUCCUGUGCCCCUCUCUAUUCAAGACAAGUACAAUUGCUGUACAGAAAUUAAGAUCUGACAGCCUUUACAUUUAGCACCAUUUUUAUUUUACACCGUGACUUUAACCCAUAACACUUGGUUGUUGUAAAUAUCUUCUGAAUUCAUGUACCAUAUUCUUUUACAUCCUUCUCAUUUAAAAAGGUCAUGUUUUAUUUAUAUAUAAGAUUUUGUCAAAAUAUUUUAACCAAUAAUUUGUAAGCACCUCUUUCAGUUAAAAACUUUGAAAUCCAUUUGAUUGAUAACUGUAAAAAUGCAAAAUGUAUCCUAGUUUUUGAAGAAAUCCAGAAUUGAAUAUUAUAUAUUAUGGAUGUUGUAAGAAACCUGAGCAUUAUGAUUCAUUUGUUUAUUAUUAUAUUUAGCAUUAAAACUGUAAAUUUAAAUCUAGUAAGAUGCCUUUUGUAUGUAAUUUUGUUUAUGAAAUUCAUUAUAAAGUCUGCAUUAUAUAUACUUUUUUUUUAUUAAAUUUAUUAUAACAUAGAGUUAGUCAAAUUCCUGUCCAAUGAAAAAGCUGGUAAAUUAUUUCAUUUAUAGACUACAGGUAUGUACUUUAAAGAAUGUUCACUACUCUUGUUUUUGACAUUUUGAAGUGUAAUUUUUAAGCUCUUAUCAAUUGGAAGUUGAGUGGCCAUUGUUUCUUUUUAUGUUUGCAAUGUUUUAAAAAGAUCUGUUUUAUUCUGUUAAAAAUGUUAGUACCAAUAGAUACUUGUUUUAUUUGACAUAUAAAUAUAAGUGUUUUGUUUAAUUUUGAGAAAAAGAUCUUAAAGUAAUUAUGUAUAAACUUGAAUGUCACUUGAUGCAAAUAAUUGUUCAUUACAUAUAACAAUAAAACUAUUAACCAAAAA
rnacentral:lncRNA from 1 species